GGGCCUGCACAAGCGGUGGAGUAUGUGGUUUAAUUCGAUGCAACGCGAAGAACCUUACCAGGCCUUGACAUCCCCGGAACUUUCUAGAGAUAGAUUGGUGCCUUCGGGAACCGAGUGACAGGUGCUGCAUGGCUGUCGUCAGCUCGUGUCGUGAGAUGUUGGGUUAAGUCCCGUAACGAGCGCAACCCUUAUCCUUAAUUGCCAGCGGUUAGGCCGGGAACUCUAAGGAGACUGCCGGGGUCAACUCGGAGGAAGGUGGGGAUGACGUCAAAUCAUCAUGCCCCUUAUGUCUUGGGCUUCACGCAUGCUACAAUGGCCGGUACAGAGGGCUGCAAUACCGCAAGGUGGAGCGAAUCCCAAAAAGCCGGUCUCAGUUCGGAUUGAGGUCUGCAACUCGACCUCAUG
rnacentral:rRNA from 1 species